AGUCGACUAACAUGGUCCUGAUGAGUCUAUAUAAGACGAAACGGGUU
rnacentral:hammerhead_ribozyme from 16 species